UCGGGAAUAUUGGACAAUGGGCGCAAGCCUGAUCCAGCCAUGCCGCGUGAGUGACGAAGGUCUUCGGAUUGUAAAGCUCUUUUUGGCGGGGACGAUAAUGACGGUACCCGCAGAAUAAGCCCCGGCUAACUUCGUGCCAGCAGCCGCGGUAAUACGAAGGGGGCUAGCGUUGUUCGGAAUUACUGGGCGUAAAGCGCACGUAGGCGGAUUUGUAAGUCAGGGGUGAAAGCCCGAGGCUCAACCUCGGAAUUGCCUCUGAUACUGGCUGUCUAGAGUUCGAGAGAGGUGAGUGGAAUUCCUAGUGUAGAGGUGAAAUUCGUAGAUAUUAGGAAGAACACCGGUGGCGAAGGCGGCUCACUGGCUCGAUACUGACACUGAGGUGCGAAAGCGUGGGGAGCAAACAGGAUUAGAUACCCCUGUAGUCCCUGAGCGGGCUGGCAAGGCGCAU
rnacentral:rRNA from 1 species